ACAGUUAAAUUUGAAGGGAUGUCCUAGUCCACGUUCUGGUCAUCGUAUGGUAUUAUACAAACACAAGAUUAUAAUUUUUGGUGGCUUCUAUGACACUCUACGUGAAGUAAGGUAUUACAAUGAUCUUUAUGUGUUUGACCUGGACCAAUA